CUGGAUGCAACUGUCUCCCCAGAUCACAUGCGGUGUUUGCCUUGAUACCUCAGCUGUCUGAGGAGCCCAUGAAAAGUUGCUGAUUUUCAGUUUGUUCAGCAUUUUCUUACUGUAAAAAGGAAAAUCAUGACUUCCAAGCUCUCUACAUAUUGGACCUGAAACCAGAAGUCCCUUUCAGCACUUUAAAGUUGCCAUUCCACUAUCUUCUGGCCUCCAUUAUUUCUGAUAAGUCAUGCGAUUGCAAUUUGCAUGUAAAGUGCCAUUUUUUUCCGGCUACUUUCAAAAGCUUUUCAUCUGUAGUUUUCAGCAGUUUGACUUUGACGUGCUCAGGAACAGGGGCGUGCUUAUGCGGAAGCUGACUUUAUAAAUGGCUCACGGUCAUGGCCCUGGAAGAGCCUGGCGCCUGCCCGAUGUCUGGUCUGGAGAAUCCAUCAGGUCUGUGCCAUGAUGCCUGCAGCUGAGAAUGAGCCGUCUCACCCUGAGUUCCCUCCACGCUGUCUGCUGGGGUGGAAGGCAGGAACAGCACAGCCUGUGAUGGAAGCCUGCCCGUCCAGGGGUGGAGGUAUGGGAAGACAAGGUCGUGCACUGGCCUCCCACCUGCGGGGCAGCUUUUGCGCAAGGGCUUCAAAGGUUGCAAGUCACAGUUAUUUUCCAAGCCUCCUACCUUCCUUGAAGAGGUGCCCCAGAUCCUGUUAGUGUCUUCCCAGCAGAUGGGCCCCUUCUCCUGACUCACGGUGUGAUCCGGAACUUCCUAAAUCUCCUACCUCCUCAGGCUCCAGUUGGCAAAAAGGGAAAGAGGCCACCCUAGUUCUAGCCUUGUGGUCCCCAUAGCAGAAAUGGAGGAAGGGCUCAGCAUUCAGAGUCCCGAGCUUUUACACAAGGCCUCAGAGCUCAGUGCCCAGGCCCGACCUCUGCUUCCAAAGACAUAGAAAAGUCAGGAUGGAGAGACCUUACAUGUGAUCUGGCCUAUCGCCUCGCACAUACCAGCCGAGCUUCCAUAAUGACAUCCACCCUCUAUGCAACACUUCCUAAGUGCCAAGUACUUUACUGGCUGGCUUUUUCAUGGAAUAGUUCACUUAAGCCUCUGGAGUAACAUUAUAAGCUAGCAGUUAUCCAUCCUGCUUUCAGAUGAGGACACUGGAACUCAGAGACCUUACUGCAUUUGCGUUGUUCAAUGUCACACUGCCCCUACAAAGCAUUGUCAAGGAUCCGAUUCCAUAGCCAUUCGAUUCCAAGUUUCAUGUUCUCUUUUUGUGCUGCUUCUCUGUGCACCCUCCUUAAAUACUGGUCUAGAAUACUUCCAGUGAUGGGAAACUCACUACAUCCCAAGGCCACCCACUCUGUCACUGUGCUCUUUACAAAACACUAAAGUCUUUUUAAAGGUCCCACCACCUGGUCCUAAUUCUAACUCCCACCAAGUUCCAAAAACCUUAUCUGUGUCCUCUGGCCUCCCAGCAGCCUUCCACUGUGUGAUAAAGACUCUCGUUCCCCACAGCUCUUCUGGAGGCUGCCCCGCCUCCCUGCACCCCCAGCUCCAUAGAGGACAGAAAUCCACAUCCCCUCACUAUUCUCAUCUGUUGCCUCUAGACAUCAUUGUCUGUGCCCUCCAGAGAGGGUUCUGGAACAGAUCCUAUGGCAGGAGACUUGGGAAUCUCAUAGGCGGCUUGCUUCAUGUUUUACAAUGCUAUGUUUAUUUGUAUUAUUUUACUUACUUUUUAACUAUAAAUGUAAUCCAUGAACCCAGUUAAAAAUAUUCCAAGAGCACAGGUGGAUCUGAGGAAAAAGUAAACAUCUCCUCUCAUUCUCUUCCAAACCCAGUACCACUCCGCAGAAGAAACCUCUGUUGAAAGUUUCUGUUUUUAUUUCUUGUGGUAAUUCCUAUUAUAAUUAAAAAAAAAAAGCUUUUAUUUUCUUGGCUUAUCUUUUAUUUUUAUUUUAUUUUUUGAGACAGACUUUCACUCUUGUCACCCAGGCUGGAGUGCAAUGGUGUGAUUUCACCUCACUGCAGCCUCCGCUUCCCGGGUUCAAGUGAUUCUCCUGUCUCAGCCUCCUGAAUAGCUGGGAUUACAGGCAUGCACCACCACGCCUGGCUACUUUUUGUAUUUUUAGUAGAGACAGGGUUUCACCUUGUUGGUCAGGCUGGUGUUGAACUCCUGACCUUAGGCAAUCUCCUGCCUCGGCCUCCCAAAGUGCUGGGAUUACAGGCAUGAACCACCAUGCCUGGCCUUGGCUUAUCUUUAGAUAGUAACGUUUGACUCCCCUUUAUGGAGGAUUAGGAAUUCAGCACCCUCACAACACCUCUUGCCUCUCCAUGUCACAGCCCAAUUUUAUUAUUUAUAUCGCUCUUUUUAAUUGUUUUAGUGAUUACUCCUAUUACUUUCAAUAAUCUACCUAAAAAUCUGCCUUGAUUUAUUCACUUUAUACAGCAUUCCUUAACUCCCCACUGUGAAAGGUGAGGGUAGCAGUGAAGCCCUCUUUUUCCUACCUCUCUUGCACUAACUCCUGAUGGUCUAAUAAUGUUUCAUAAUUUCAAGGUUUGUAACAUUUGCAUGCUUAUUCUGUGGCUAUUUAAGUGUUAAAGUUUGAAAACCAAUGAACAGCAUUGUGAACAUAUGAACCUUUUUUACUGAAGAACCAAAUAAUACGAUCAGACCUAGAGAGAAAAAGAAAAUGUAAUUCACUGUCAUGAUCCCUGUGACAUUCUCAGGAGGCUCUUCUAUGGAGUGAAGAGUCUAGUGGAGUGUAAUGGUUCAUUUUAUGUGUCCACUUGACUGGGAUAUGGGUUACCCAGAUAGCUGGUAAAACAUUAUUUCUGAGUGUGUCUGGGAGGGUCCUUCCCGAGAAGAGAUUGGCAUUUGAAUUGGUAGACUAAGUAAAGAUGGCCCUGAGCAAUGGGGGUGGGCAUCAUUUAAUCCAUUGAGGACACAAAUAGAGCACAAAGGCAGAGGAAGGGUAAUUGACUCCCUCUUCUUCAGCUGGGCCGUCCAUCUUCUCCUGCCCUCAGAUAUUACAGCUCCUGGAUCUCAGGCCCUGGGAAUCCAGGAUUUGCACCAGCGGCACCACCAGGCAUUUGACCUCAUGGCCUCAGACUGGGAGUCUAUACCAUCGGAUCGCCUGGUUCUCAGGCCUUAAGACUACAACUGAGUCACACCACUAGCUUUCCUGGUACUCCAUAUUAGAGAUGGUAUUUCAUGAGACUCUUCAGCCUCUAUAAUCACACGAGCCAAUUUUCAUAAUAAAUCUCCUUUUGUGUCUGUCUAUCUAUCUAUUCUAUUGGUUGUGUUUCUCAGGAGAACCUUGACUAAUACAUGGAAAUUCUUAUUUUUCUUUCCACUUUUUUCACUGCUUCUGGGUCAAUUCCAGCUGCACAGUUUUUGUUUUUGUUUUUCUGAGACGGAGUCUUGCUCUGUCGUCCAGGCUGGAGUGCAAUGGCAUGAUCUUUGCUCAC
rnacentral:lncRNA from 1 species